rnacentral:rRNA from 1 species
UUAAAGAUUUUUUAAUUCAACAUCGAGGUCGUAAUCUUUCUUGUAGAUAUGAACUCUUAAAGAAAAUUACGCUGUUAUCCCUAAAGUAACUUAAUCUUAUAUUUACUAAAGGAUCAUUCAAUCUUACUGACUAUAAUCAUUAAGAAGUUAAAAACAGUUACUUUUUACAUUUUUAUCGCCCCAAUAAAAUAAGUUUAACAAAAAAAAUUUUAAUUAACUACUACACUUUUUUUAUCUUUCUUAUUAAGUUUUAUAGGGUCUUAUCGUCACUUUAAUUUAUUUAAGCCUUUUUACUUAAAAGUUAAGUUCAAUAGUUUUAGUUGAAGACAGUUUAUUUCUUGUGCGACCAUUCAUACAAGCCUCCAAUUAAGAGACAAAUGAUUAUGCUACCUUUGCACGGUCAAAAUACCGCGGCCCUUUAAAUUUCAGUGGGCAGGCCAGACUUU